rnacentral:misc_RNA from 1 species
UUUCCGUAGGUGAACCUGCGGAAGGAUCAUUAUCGAGUUUUUUUGCCGUCUCCGGACAGCAAAAGAAACAUAAUCCCUUGCGAAACGUUAACCGUUUUUUAACAACCAAAUUUUUAACCACACAAUAACAAGCUGAUUGUAUGAUUCGAACGAUUUCGAAAUACAAAACAAAAAAUACGUGACAACUUUUAACAACGGAUAUCUUGGCUCUC